UACUCAUCAAACAAAGCAGAUGGCCCUCCCCAAUGUGGGUAAGCAUCAUCCAAUCUGUUGAGGACCCAAAUAGAACAAAAAGGUGGAGGAAGGGCGAAUCCGCUCUCUCUGCUUAAGCUGAGACAUCCAUCUCCUCCUGCCCUAGGACAUGGGCGCUCCUGGUUCGUGGGCUUUCAGAGUCAGAUCUGGACUUAACACUGUCAGCUUCCUAUUCUGAGGCCUUCAGACUUGAAAUGAAUUAUACCACUGGCUUUCUUCGUUCUCCAGCUUGUGGACACGAGAUGGUUCUUUCUGUUAAGAAUGUGGACAAGGCAUUACAUGGAGGAUAUGUCUAUGAUUCAUAAUGUCUGGAAUCUCAGGUGGGAAGCCCUGAAUGCUUGGAAAUGAAGCAAAUUGCUGGGAACAAGAACCACCUGGAGGUUUUCUCACUAGUGUCUGGCACUAGGGGGAUACCUUCAAAGGCUGGGCUUUUAACAAGAGGACCUACCAGUGGUCUCUACAUGUAGUCUGGAUUUCUCAGUAUGGCAGAUGGGUUCCAAGGAAAAACAUCUAGGGAGAGAGUGUCAGGAAUGCAAGUAUGCCAAGAAAGUAAGGCAGAAACUGCAGUCUCCUUUAACCCAGCCCUGCAAGCAUGACUUUCACUGCAUUUUAUUACUAACAAGUGUGCCACUGAAAGCAGAGGGUAUUAAAUUCUGCCUCUUACAGGAGAAGUAGCAAAGUAGUACAGAAAAAAUGUGUGACGGGGAAAAUUAUUAUGGUCUUCCUUGAAAGCACAAACUUCUUCAACUGUGAUGACAGAAAUGGUUAGAAAUGACUCUAAGACUUACUGGCUACUCUGAUGGAGUUGGAAUGUUGAAGAAUCCACCUGAUUUGUCUGGAUGACUACACAAUAUGUGACUCAACUCUCUGUCUUGACUUUGUUUGCAUUUAAAGAAAAGUCACUAAUAGCACACCCAAAGCCAUUGGCCUUCACCUCAAGGGGAUCUCACAAACUAUGGGAAUAUCCUGCUGUUGAAACUAAAGGUAGGAGGUGGGGCAAGCAUUUGGUCUAUUACUUCUUUAAGUAUUGAACCCCCACAAACUUCUCUUUUAUUGUUUAACAUAAUGAAUACUGUUCAAUCCCUUUGAUUGUGGUUGAACAGAAAAUAUUAACAUAAGUACUUUAUGACUUCCAUCGCAACAUACCAGCAGCUCCCAUGAAACCAACUGGUUAUAAUUUCAAACUCAAUUUUUGUCCCAUUAGAUCACACCAUCGCUCCAGGCACAUACAUAUGGGUUAAGUGGGAAGGGGGGUAAAAAAAAGAACAUAGCAAGAUUUUAACCACAACAAUUAAAAGAACCAUAAUUAUAGUGACAAUAAAGGGAAACAAAAGAAUAUGAAGCAAUAAGAGAAGUCUUGAUUUGGGCUAUUUUUCAUUUUAAGGGGAAAGUUUAUGUCCAAGUACAGUUUAUGUGAAACAAUUUCAUUAUCAUUUGAAAAAAGAACUCUUAUCUUUCAGUCAAGUGAACACUAACCAUGUACCAACUGAUACAAAAUGUCAAAGUUAAAAUACAGUAUGCUCACAUGAGCACAAAGAGACAUUAGCAGUAACCUUUAGGAACUCUGGUGUUCUUAUAACUAAUGCAUUAACCCAUUUACUUAAGAAAAGGUCAACAUAAUGGAGCAUUAGGAGAGUAAUAAAGUUCUCCCCUGCUAUUCAAAAUGUCAGGAUAAUGCUGGACUCUGCAAUUUGAUAAUUAGAAGAAAUAAUGUUCACUCACAGAGUCCCCCUUAGGAUCUCUUGUAGGGCUGGUUUAGUGGUGAUGAAUUCCUUCAGUUUUUGUUUGGGAAGACCUUUAUCUCUCCUUCUAUUGUGAAUGACAGACUUGCUGGGUAAAGGAUUCUUGGCUGCGUAUUUUUUUCUGUUCAUCACAUUGAAGAUUUCCUGCCAUUCCCUUCUGGCCUGCCAAGUUUCAGUAGAUAGGUCUGUUACUACCCUUAUGUGUUACCUUUGUAAGUUAGGGCCUGUUUAUCCCUAGCUGCUUUCAGAAUAUUCUACUGUACCAAUGAUGUUUACUUUAUUUAAAAUAGUUAAUAACAUACUUUAUGUCAUUGGUCAAAAGACUUUCCAUUAUAUCCUCCUCCAUUUAAUAAACAUGUUGUUCAGAUGUGUUU